rnacentral:rRNA from 1 species
ACGUAGGGGGCAAGCGUUGUCCGGAAUUACUGGGCGUAAAGGGUGCGUAGGCGGUUGCCUAAGUCAGAUGUGAAAUCCCCCGGCUUAACUCGGGUGGUGCCAUUGAAACUGGGUGGCUAGAGUGUAGGAAAGGGAGGCGGAAUUUCUAAUGUAGCGGUGAAAUGCGUAGAUAUUAGGAGGAACACCAGUGGCGUAGGCAGCUUUCUGGACUGUAACUGACGCUGAGGCACGAAAGCGUGGGGAGCAAACAG